rnacentral:rRNA from 1 species
GAUACCCUAUUAUUUUAAAUGUAAUUUUUAAAGCUAAAAUGAUUAUUAGUUAAGUUCUUUAAAAUUAAAAAUUUUGGCGGUAUUUUAGUCUUUUCAGAGGAACCUGUUUUUUAAUCGAUAGUCCACGAUUUACUUUACUUUAAUUUUAAAUUUAUAUAUCGUCGUUUAUAAAGAUUUUAUUAGAAUUUGAAUUUUUGAUAUUUAUUAUUUUAAAUUAAUUCAGAUCAAGGUGUAGUUUAUAUUAAAGUUAAGAUGGGUUACAUUAAAUUUAUUUUUGGUUUUAAAGUUGAAAAUUUUAAAUAAAUUGGAUUUGAAAGUAAUUACUAUAUUUUUAUAUAAUGAUUUAGCUCUAGAAUAUGUACACAUCGCC